AAAAACAAAAUUAAUAAAAUAUAAAAUAAUAAAAAUAAUUUUAAUAUAAAUAUUAUAAUGGGGGUUAAAGUAUUUAUAAAGAAAAAAUUUUAAAUUUUAUAAGGAAUUAGUAUUGUAAAAUAAUUUUGAAAUAUUUGAAAAUUUAUUUAUUAAAAAGUAAAUUUAAAUUAUUGUAUCUUGUGUAUCAGAGUUUAUUAAAUAAAAUUUUAUUUAAAAUAAUUUCGAAUUAAAAAGAGAUAAUUAAUUAAUAAAAUUAAUGUGGCAUAAUUAUUUUAAAUAAUUAAUUUGAAAUGAAAUGUUAAUCGUUUUUUAAUAUAUCUAAUUUUUUUAGAAAAAAAUUUAAUUUUAAAAUUUUUAUUGGUAAUAAUUAAUUAAUAAAAUUAUUAUAAUAAAAAUUUCAAUAUUUUAAGGGAUAAGCUUUAAAUUAAAUUGUUAAAAUUAAAUUAAUUUUAUUUAAAAUUUUUAAAAUUUAAAUUGUUUAAAAAUUAAAAUUUAUUAUAAAUUAUUUUAAAUUAAAUAAAAUUUAAUUGAAUUUAAUUUUUUAAAAAAAAAAAUUAUUUAAUUUUAAAAUAGAAGAAAUAAUGAUAAAAUUAGUAUAAUAUAAAAUAAAUUUAUAAAUUUAUUUUAAGAUAAUUAAAAGGAAUUCGGCAAAAAUUUAUAUUCACUUGUUUAUCAAAAACAUGUCUUUUUGAAAAUAAUUUAAAGUCUAAUCUGCCCACUGAUAUAAAUUAAAGGGCUGCAGUAUUUUGACUGUACAAAGGUAGCAUAAUCAUUAGUCUUUUAAUUGAAGACUUGUAUGAAAGAUUGAAUGAAAUAUAAACUGUCUUUUAAAUAAAUAUAGAAAUUAAUUAUUUAGUUAAAAAGCUAAAAUAAUUUUAAAAGACGAGAAGACCCUAUAGAGUUUUAUAAUAGUUAUAUUAUUUAUAUUAUAUAAAAAUUUAAAUAAAAAAUAUAUUUAUUAUUUUGUUGGGGUGAUAAAAAAAUUAAAUAAACUUUUUUUAAAUUUAAACAAAAAUAAUUGAGUAAAUGAUCCAUUAAUAAUGAUUAUAAGAAUAAAUUACCUUAGGGAUAACAGCGUAAUAUUUUUUUUUAGUUCAAAUAAAAAAAAAAGUUUGCGACCUCGAUGUUGGAUUAAGAUAAAAAUUAAAUGCAAAAGUUUAAAUUUUUGAUCUGUUCGAUCAUUAAAAUCUUACAUGAUCUGAGUUCAAACCGGUGUAAGCCAGGUUGGUUUCUAUCUUUAAAUAAAAAAAAAUAUUUUAGUACGAAAGGAUUAAAUAUUUAAAAUAAUUUUAAUUGAAAGAAUAUUAUUAAUUAUAUAUAUAUAUAUAUAUAUA
rnacentral:rRNA from 1 species